GCUAUCCCUACCUUUAAUACCUCCAGAUCCCAUUAUCCAUCUUCUUCAUACCCAGAUUGUCAGAAGAUUCUCUCUAUCUCGUAGCAAAUCCAAGGCACCAAGAUUCCCAUUGUUAGGCAAACGAAGCUCACCGGCUUUGUGAGCGAACCAAGGUGUCUCCGCUUCCCAAAUUCCUCUCCUUCACUCUUUGCGGAAAUUCCUAAAUCAUUCUUCAGUCUCCAAAUCAACAUUGCUGGAAUGGCAGCCAUUUCAAAUGUCACGGGAUGAGGUCACGGCGGGAGCUCAGUAAGGUCUCAGUUUCAGUCACUUCCUGGAUUGAUGUCUCCGAUCUUUUGGCCCUUUAAGAUAUAAAGGACAUGGAUAAGCCUUUGGAAAGAAACACAACCUUGCUAGUCCCUUGAAGUGGAACACCAUUUGUGUGAGAUUACGCAGGAUACAAUUAUGUUCACUGCCUAAUUCAAUCUUAAACUGAUGGAACAUUGGUUGAAUUUAAUUCACAUUGCUGGGAUGCGAAUCAUUCAAAAGGAAGUGGGUAUGUGUAGAUUCUGAAUUCAUGAAGCUUUUCUGAACAAAAAAAUCGAAGGUAUAAUGAUUAUAUUCUUCAUGCUAAUUGUGACCUUACAAUAACUUGUUUUUACUUUGAGGCACUAUGCCAAAAAGGCCUUCAGACGACAUAACUGUUCUGUCGUCUGAAUGAACAAAAAUGUGUCGUCUAGUACGGUGUCGUC